rnacentral:rRNA from 1 species
CAGUAGCCGCGGGAAUACCGAGGGUGCGAGCGUUAAUCGGAUUUACUGGGCGUAAAGCGUGCGUAGGCGGCUUCUUAAGUCGGAUGUGAAAUCCCUGAGCUUAACUUAGGAAUUGCAUUCGAUACUGGGAAGCUAGAGUAUGGGAGAGGAUGGUAGAAUUCCAGGUGUAGCGGUGAAAUGCGUAGAGAUCUGGAGGAAUACCGAUGGCGAAGGCAGCCAUCUGGCCUAAUACUGACGCUGAGGAGCGAAAGCGUGGGGAGCGAACAGGAUUAGAUACCCGUGUAGUCCCUGUCUCUUAUAC